rnacentral:rRNA from 1 species
UACGGGGGGGGCAAGCGUUGUUCGGAAUUACUGGGCGUAAAGGGCUCGUAGGCGGCCAACUAAGUCAGACGUGAAAUCCCUCGGCUUAACCGGGGAACUGCGUCUGAUACUGGAUGGCUUGAGAUUGGGAGAGGGAUGCGGAAUUCCAGGUGUAGCGGUGAAAUGCGUAGAUAUCUGGAGGAACACCGGUGGCGAAGGCGGCAUCCUGGACCAACACUGACGCUGAGGAGCGAAAGCGUGGGGAGCAAACAGG